rnacentral:rRNA from 1 species
AGAGAGAGACAUGCGCGCAUAUCAAUAAGCGGAGGAAAAGAAACUAACAAGGAUUCCCUUAGUAACGGCGAGUGAAGCGGGAAGAGCUCAAAUUUGAAAUCUUCAAGGUUUUACCUUGACGAAUUGUAGUUUAAAGAAGUGUUUUCUGCUGAAGUUUUGGUAAAAUGUUCUUUGGAAUAGGACAUCAUAGAGGGUGAGAAUCCCGUAUUUGACCAUUAUUUUCAGCUUUGUGAUACACUUUCAAAGAGUCGGAUUGUUUGGGAAUGCAGUCCAAAAUGGGUGGUAAAUUUCAUCUAAAGCUAAAUAUUGGCGAGAGACCGAUAGCGAACAAGUACCGUGAGGGAAAGAUGAAAAGAACUUUGAAAUGAGAGUUAAACAGUACGUGAAAUUGUCAAAAGGGAAGCGUUUGACACCAGUGUUGUUUUCUCGAAAAUCAAUUAAAAAUGGCUCGAUUUUGUAUUGCUGAGACCUUAAAAGCUCACUGUACAUUUUUCGUGUCUUUUUUAAUGCACUUUUCGUUUAACAAGUCAACAUCAGUUUCUUUUGUUGUAAAAGGGUCAUUGGAAGGUGGCUUUCUUUUCGGAGAAAGUGUUUAUAGCCUUUGGCCUCUGCAAUCGGAAGAGACUGAGGUCUGCAGCGUAGACUCUUCGGGGUUAGAUACAUUUGUGCUAAGUUAUAGCUUUUUAUAGACAACUUGUUGACUAUAAUUAGUCUUAUAGCUUACUCGCUUAUGCUAUUUUACCUACGCUUAGGAUGUUGAAGAUGUAGCACAUCAU